GACGAACGCUGGCGGCGUGCUUAACACAUGCAAGUCGAACGAAGAGCGAUGGAAGCUUGCUUCUAUCAAUCUUAGUGGCGAACGGGUGAGUAACGCGUAAUCAACCUGCCCUUCAGAGGGGGACAACAGUUGGAAACGACUGCUAAUACCGCAUACGAUCUAACCUCGGCAUCGAGGAUAGAUGAAAGGUGGCCUCUACAUGUAAGCUAUCACUGAAGGCGGGGAUUGCGUCUGAUUAGCUAGUUGGCGGGGUAACGGCCCACCAAGGCGAUGAUCAGUAGCCGGUCUGAGAGGAUGAACGGCCACAUUGAGACUGAGACACGGCCCAGACUCCUACGGGAGGCAGCAGUGGGGAAUCUUCCGCAAUGGACGAAAGUCUGACGGAGCAACGCCGCGUGAGUGAUGACGGCCUUCGGGUUGUAAAGCUCUGUUAAUCGGGACGAAAGGCCUUCUUGCGAAUAGUUAGAAGGAUUGACGGUACCGGAAUAGAAAGCCACGGCUAACUACGUG
rnacentral:rRNA from 1 species